GUCUCAAAAAAAAAUCAACAAAAUUGAAGGCAUAUAAAUUCUAUGCGAAAUUUAAUUAACAAAAUGACAAUUUUACCCUUAAUGCAUUUGAGAUGCGAAUUUACUAGUUAUGCCAUCACACUGUGUUUAAAAAAGCGUGCUUAAAGCAAGCUUUAAGCGCUGGAAACAUCGCUUUUUUUGGUCUGAAGCGUUACAUUACGUGAAGCGCUGUGAAGCGAGCUUUAAGCGCGAAGCGAUGAUGGUUUGAAGCGACGCUUCAGCCCAAUCAGGUCACAUUUGGGCCAUUUUUUAAGCCCAACAGUCUUUAGAUAGGGUUAAAUGAGGCCUGUUUCUUUACCCUAAGUGGUUUCGACUUUAAUUUAUGUUUUAACUAUGUUUUUUAUGUGUUAAGUGUGUUUUUUAAUCAUGUUUUUGUGUUUGUUAUUGAUUAACAAGUAGAAUAGGUCAUAUUGAUGUCGCUUCGUAUACGUGAAGCUCUCGCUUCGCGCUUGAAGCUUCGCUUAAAGCUUUUGGAACCAAAACGCUUCGGAGCGCUUCGCAUAUAG
rnacentral:lncRNA from 1 species